UACGUAGGGUGCGAGCGUUGUCCGGAAUUAUUGGGCGUAAAGAGCUCGUAGGCGGUGUGUCACGUCGAUCGUGAAAACUUGGGGCUUAACUCUGAGCUUGCGGUCGAUACGGGCAUCACUGGAGUUCGGCAGGGGAGACUGAAUUCCUGGUGUAGCGGUGAAAUGCGCGGAUAUCAGGAGGAACACCGGUGGCGAAGGCGGGUCUCUGGGCCGAUACUGACGCUGAGGAGCGAAAGCGUGGGGAGCAAACAGG
rnacentral:rRNA from 1 species